UACAGAGUUUUUAAAGCCGAUCACAUCGUUUUAUCAUUAUCUGGGAACAGAACAGAGAAACAGUUCCCAGAUGAGUUAGAAACAGUUGCCAGAUGAGUCAGAAACAGUUAUUGAAUGAGGUGAUUAUUUUAGACUUUCUGCCACUAAGUUGCAACCAGUGGAUCUCCUUGACCUUGUCUUUGAUGCUCUUUUUUUGAGCUUUUGUUUCCUUCAUUGGUAAAGCCUGAUUCACAAGAGUAUGAAGUAUGAUUUACAAGAGUAAAAGCAAGGCUGUUAUCUUUUGACCUUCAGUGUCAAAACAAAGUUGUUAUUUUUCAAGCUAAGUGUUAGCCUUACACUACAAUUUAACCCUUACAGCAGGCUCGGGGCACUGGCAGCAGCAGGGACCAGCAAACGUUCCUGGGUGUGGCCAGCAUUCAGCCAUUGCUUGGUGAGAGCCUCCCACAGAGGGGCUGAACGGGUCCAAGCCAGAGUCCUUAAGAAGUAAGGUGCCGAGGAGGAGCCAAGAUGGCAGAACAGCAUGGAAGUUUUUUGUGUGUCUCGCGUGUGAAGCUUUUUGUGUGUCUCUUUUGUGUGAAGCUUUUUGUGUGUCUCACGAAGAGCUGAACUUGGGGAACAAGAAGCCAAGAAAGAUAAAAAUUUAAAAAAUUCAGAGCUCCUCGUUCAAAGUUACUGAGACUUUCAAGAUGGUGAAACAAAGCAUCAAAUCAGGCACAGAGCCCAUGGUGGCUGCAGCAUGUCUAUGAAGCUUCCAUACAAUCAGAGAAUGUUCAAGACUAUUUCAUUUUGACUUGAAAAUAAUUUAUAAACAAGACCUCAGAGAGACAACACAUAAAGAGGAAAAUCGUUCCUCGUUACUUCAUCAAAAUGCCGGAUUUCUUGACAUCUGUAGAAACUUCAGAUAAAGUUGAUGUGGGUGGUAUUUUGAAAGAAAUUAGACCACACUGCAGUUAGCUGAAGAACUGGAGUCUUGGUUUAAAUCCCAGCUUCACAAUUGAUUGUAACACAGGCACAUUUAACGGCAGUGAAAUUUGCUGACAGUAGACCCUGAGCAUUCUCUCCACACACAAGCAUCAACAUGUGAAACAAUGGAUGAGUUCAUUACCUUCAUGGUGGUGGUCAUACGACCAUACAGGGAAGCCAAAUCAUCACAUGCACACUUGAUACAUAUACAGAUAUACUUGUCGAUGAUUCCUCAACAACAUGGGGAAACAGCAAAAUUACUUAAAUCAUUUGAGCCCCCAUUUUCUUAUAAUGAGAGAUGAUUUUACUACUUCUCUUGCUGGGUGUUUGGAAGAAAAAAAAUGAGCUAACACCUGUAAGGAACUCAGAAUAAGAACUAAUACAAUAAGUGCACAAUAAAAGUUAUUUCCCUUCUAUUUAUAGCAUAUAUGUGAACAAGGAAUUUAAAUGUGAUAAAUCUACAAUGAAUUCCUGCAAAGCAACAAUAAUGGAUCUCAACACAAAGAUGGACAGGCGAUCCUGCUCACACCCAGGGGACACUCUCUCCGUGUUUAUAUGCCUAAGGUCUGUGGCUCCUGAGAGGCAGGAAGAAUGUCAGAAGGAGACAAAGACGUUUCUGAACAUGAAGAGCUCAUGCUGCAAUCCCAAUAGGAACAGUCACUUCAAAUAUCUUCCUGCCAUUCUCAGCUGUUGGGAGUGUAAACCUGCAAAGCUGGGCAGGCUGUGAAUCCGACAAUCAGGAGAGGUAGGAUUAACAGUGUGAAAACAUACUGUCAAAGAAAGCUAGUCUGACUUGCAUGAAGCCAGCCUUUUACGGAGGUACAGCACAGAUCAGGUAUGUUCUCUAAAUUCCUUCAACUCUACAGCGUAGAAUCCCCCAGACUAUGGAGAGGUACUGCCUCAUCAACCCACUCCUUUAUUCCUCUCACAUCAAAUCUUUCUAUUCUCCUCUCAGGGAUUUCCCAAGCUUAGAAAAAAAAAAUCCCCUUUUUGUAGGAGGCACCCCCAUGUCUGCAUCUCCUUUCAGAUUUCCUUCCAUUAUUUUCAUUCUCUCCUUGUCUAUUUUCCAUAAUUAAAAACGCUUCAGGGGCUUUCUUACAAGGUCUAGAGGUAGCAGUCUGGACGCCCAUUAAAGUUUUCUCAGAAGGUAGAUGUGCACAGCCAGAGAAGAUGGUAGGUUGGCUACAUGCUCUGAGUCUCUGGGAGAAAGACACAUAUUAAUGACAAUCAAAUAAAGGGAAAAAAUGGUGGACCAAUGGCCCAUAACCAACAGUUCACCAUAAUAUCUAAUAGUCUAAUGAGGCAAAUCCUAUAAAAGGAAUGA